rnacentral:tRNA from 1 species
GUCCCUAUCGUCUAGAGGCCUAGGACAUCGCCCUUUCACGACGGUAACCGGGGUUCGAAUCCCCGUAGGGACGCCA